GAUGAACGCUGGCGGCGUGCUUAACACAUGCAAGUCGAACGGAAAGGCCCAAGCUUGCUUGGGUACUCGAGUGGCGAACGGGUGAGUAACACGUGGGUGAUCUGCCCUGCACUUCGGGAUAAGCCUGGGAAACUGGGUCUAAUACCGGAUAGGACGAUGGUUUGGAUGCCAUUGUGGAAAGUUUUUUCGGUGUGGGAUGAGCUCGCGGCCUAUAAGCUUGUUGGUGGGGUAAUGGCCUACCAAGGCGUCGACGGGUAGCCGGCCUGAGAGGGUGUACGGCCCCAUUGGGACUGAGAUACGGCCCAGCCUCCUCCGGGGGGCAGCAGUGGGGAAUAUUGCACAAUGGGCGCAAGCCUGAUGCAGCGACGCCGCGUGGGGGAUGACGGCCUUCGGGUUGUAAACUCCUUCCGCUAGGGACGAAGCGUUUUUGUGACGGUACCUGGAGAAGAAGCACCGGCCAACUCCGUGC
rnacentral:rRNA from 1 species